rnacentral:rRNA from 1 species
UACAGAGGGUGCGAGCGUUAAUCGGAGUUACUGGGCGUAAAGGGCGCGUAGGCGGUUUUCUAAGUUUGGUGUGAAAUCUCCCGGCUUAACUGGGAGGGUGCGCCGAAGACUGGAAGGCUUGAGUAUGGGAGAGGUAAGCGGAAUUCCUGGUGUAGCGGUGAAAUGCGUAGAUAUCAGGAGGAACACCUGCGGUGUAGACGGCUUACUGGACCAUAACUGACGCUGAGGCACGAAAGCGUGGGUAGCAAACAGG